UGAAAUGAGUCUUCUUCCAGUU
rnacentral:piRNA from 1 species